CUCCUCCAAUGGGUUUUGAGAAGGAGACGAGGAGAGAGGACGUGAGGAGUAUGUCAUUUAGAUCUUCCCUGUGCAUCGUCUCUUAACAUUUAUUUAGCUGAUGUUAUCCAUAAAAUCUGCAUCUUUUAAUGAUAAUACCAGAUAGCUUUUCUUAUUAUCUGAUAACACACACACAGACACAUACAUGGUGAGAGAGAGGGAUAAGUACAUUUUAGGCUAUCAGAAGGCUACUUAUAUUUUAGGCUACCAGGUAUCUCACCACAAGCAAUUAUGUCAAACUAUGGGUGUUCAAGGAAGCCAUCACGUAAUGGUUUUAUUAUACUUCUCCUCUGAACAUUUGAAUAGGCAGGCCUGUCAUUGGUCAGCUGCCCACAAGUAAACUGUCCCUGCGAGAGGCGAUGACCCGUCAGGUGAGAGGAGAGAGCAGAUGGCGCGCCGGAGGGCACAGACUGACAGAUCUGACAAUGCAUUGAGUGUGUUUCCGGUGUCCUGGAACGCACCCUGUCUGGUUGCUGGGCGAAUUAGCUUGUUGGGAGAUCGAUGUUCACCCGCACUUGUAUCCCAUCAGUAAUCUGCACACCUGUCCUGAUCAUCACCUCUCCCCCUCAAAAGCUCUGACCUGACAUCCAUUCCCUGCCGGAUCGUUAGCCAUGAACAUUACUCACCCGGAUCAUUUACCCCAUUCCCGCCUGGUCGUCGGAGGAUUCCGCUACCCCAUUGGAUCCACCUAUUUACUCCCAUUAACUCACCACCGCUGCCCGCUACGCCACCUGGAUAUAUCUACCCAUUUACAUUCACUUGUAAAUAAAUACUCACCUUCUUCC